rnacentral:rRNA from 1 species
GAUGAACGCUGGCGGCGUGCCUAAUACAUGCAAGUCGAGCGAACGGACGAGAAGCUUGCUUCUCUGUUGUUAGCGGCGGACGGGCGAGUAACACGUGGAUAACCUACCUAUAAGACUGGGAUAACUUCGGGAAACCGGAGCUAAUACCGGAUAAUAUUUUGAACCGCAUGGUUCAAAAGUGAUAGACGGUCUUGCUGUCACUUAUAGAUGGAUCCGCGCUGCAUUAGCUAGUUGGUAAGGUAACGGCUUACCAAGGCAACGAUGCCUAGCCGACCUGAGAGGGUGAUCGGCCACACUGGAACUGAGACACGGUCCAGACUCCUACGGGAGGCAGCAGUAGGGAAUCUUCCGCAAUGGGCGAAAGCCUGACGGAGCCACGCCGCGUGAGUGAUGAAGGUCUUCGGAUCGUAAAACUCUGUUAUUAGGGAAGAACAUAUGUGUAAGUAAAUGUGCCCAUCUUGACGGUACCUAAUCAAAAAGCCACGGCUAACUUCGUG